AACGAACGCUGGCGGCAUGCCUAACACAUGCAAGUCGAACGAAGCCUUCGGGCUUAGUGGCGCACGGGUGCGUAACGCGUGGGAAUCUGCCCUUGGGUUCGGAACAACAGUUAGAAAUGACUGCUAAUACCGGAUGAUGUCUUAGGACCAAAGAUUUAUCGCCCAAGGAUGAGCCCGCGUAGGAUUAGGUAGUUGGUGGGGUAAUGGCCCACCAAGCCGACGAUCCUUAGCUGGUCCGAGAGGAUGAUCAGCCACACUGGGACUGAGACACGGCCCAGACUCCUACGGGAGGCAGCAGUGGGGAAUAUUGGACAAUGGGCGAAAGCCUGAUCCAGCAAUGCCGCGUGAGUGAUGAAGGCCUUAGGGUUGUAAAGCUCUUUUACCAGGGAUGAUAAUGACAGUACCUGGAGAAUAAGCUCCGGCCAACUCCGUGCCAGCCGCCGCAGUAAGAC
rnacentral:rRNA from 1 species